rnacentral:rRNA from 1 species
UAUGUGAUCGUCUCUCGCAUAUCAAUAAGCGGAGGAAAAGAAACUAACAAGGAUUCCCCUAGUAACGGCGAGUGAAGCGGGAAGAGCUCAAAUUUGAAAUCUUAAAGGGUUUCCCUUUACGAAUUGUAGUUUAAAGAAGUGUUUUCUGUUGAGGUUUUGGUAAAAGUUCUUUGGAAUAGGACAUCAUAGAGGGUGAGAAUCCCGUAUUUGACCUUUACUUUCAACUUUGUGAUACACUUUCAAAGAGUCGGAUUGUUUGGGAAUGCAGUCCAAAAUGGGUGGUAAAUUUCAUCUAAAGCUAAAUAUUGGCGAGAGACCGAUAGCGAACAAGUACCGUGAGGGAAAGAUGAAAAGAACUUUGAAAAGAGAGUUAAACAGUACGUGAAAUUGUCAAAAGGGAAGCGUUUGACACCAGUGUUGUUUUUCUGAAAAUCAAUUAAAGAACUGUUUAUGCUAAGCUGUUUAGACUUUAUCAGCUAAUCUGUUUAGUUUUGAGCUUUUCUUUAAUGCACUUUUCAGGUUAACAAGUCAACAUCAAUUUCUUUUGCUGUAAAAAAGCUUGAGGAAGGUGGCUUGAGAUUCGUCUUAAGUGUUUAUAGCCUCUUGCCUAUGCAGUCGGAGAGAUUGAGGUCUGCAGCGUAGAUCCUUCUGGGCUAAAUGCAUUUGUGCUAAGUUAUAGCAUUUUAUAGACAACUUGUUGACUAUGAUUUGUCUUGUAGCUUACUCGCUUAUGUUAUUUUACCUACGCUUAGGAUGUUGAAGACUCUACAGAGAUA